GUCUACGGCCACGCCACCCUGAACAACCCCGAUCCCAUCUGAUCUCAGAAGCUAAGCAGGGUCGGGCCUGGUUUGUACUUGGAUGGGAGACCACCCAGGAAGACCAGGUGCUGUAGGCG
rnacentral:rRNA from 1 species